rnacentral:rRNA from 1 species
UACAGAGGUGGCGAGCGUUGUUCGGAAUUACUGGGCGUAAAGGGCGCGUAGGCGGCCUUCUAAGUCGAACGUGAAAUCCCCGGGCUCAACCCGGGAACUGCGUCCGAUACUGGAAGGCUUGAAUCCGGGAGAGGGAUGCGGAAUUCCAGGUGUAGCGGUGAAAUGCGUAGAUAUCUGGAGGAACACCGGUGGCGAAGGCGGCAUCCUGGACCGGCAUUGACGCUGAGGCGCGAAAGCCAGGGGAGCAAACGGG